rnacentral:rRNA from 1 species
CGCUGGCGGCGUGCCUAACACAUGCAAGUCAACUUGACUGAAGGAGCAAUCUGACAGUAGAGUGGCGCAAGGGUGCGUAACGCGUAAGUAACUUGCCCCAAGGUAAGGAAUAACGUCGAGAAAUCGGCGCUAAUACCUCAUAAUGCAGCGGAUCCGCAUGGAUAUGUUGUUAAAGGUUUACCGCCUUGGGAUAGGCUUGCGUCUGAUUAGCUAGUUGGUGUGGUAACUGCACACCAAGGCUACGAUCAGUAACUGGUCUGAGAGGAUGAUCAGUCACACUGGAACUGAGACACGGUCCAGACUCCUACGGGAGGCAGCAGUGAGGAAUAUUGGGCAAUGCUCGAAAGAGUGACCCAGCAACGCCGCGUGGAGGAUGAAGGUAUUCUAUAUCGUAAACUCCUGUGAGAGCAGACGAAAGACAGAUUAUUAAUCUGGAUGACUGUAUGCUCAGAGGAAGCCCCGGCUAACUACGUG